CUUGAAGCUAACAUGCACCAGAAUGAGGGGUUACCUUACAUACUGCAAUCAAAAGACAUCUUCUGCUCGGAAUCAAAACAGAUAGUGAGAGGUUCAAGUGAGAAGUAAUGUUACAUAGUAAGUUACUGAAUUUACAAUGAGAAAUUGAACUCUGGGGUUACAACUCAAAUAUGAUUUCAAGGUAAAGAAAAUAAUUACUUGGCUGGCUGGUGAAAUGCUUAGUUCCUUCUAAAAUCAUAAUUGCAAUAUGGACUUCUGCUUCAUGCUGCAUUCCAAGGCACCAAUCAGGUAACCUACAUCUCCCAAAUGAUCAACAGAGCGUUCCUUCCUAUUUUACCCUCAGUGCUGAGAAAUUACUCCUGAGCCCAGAAGUUGUUGUGUAGGUGACUUGGGUGACUUGGUGCCCAGGCAACAACUGCCACAGGCCCCACCUUGAUGAACACCAUUGAUUUCUUUAAAUAUGAUGAUACUAAGAUGGAGGCCCCUGCUCAGAGGAAGCAAGGACGUAAAAGCCAGGACAGGCUGCGCUGAGGGUCACUACACUAACAGACCCAGACGACACGAUGGAACGUGAAUACUGAAGCCAACAAUCUUCUGGAACUCUCUUUUCCAAAACUCAUAUGCUGUUUUUUCUAAUUGGGAAAUCAGGGACAGGGAAACAUUCGCAUAAUUACCCACCAACAUGUUCUUCUUAACAGAAAUGAAGAUUAUUAUUAUUUUUUUUUUGAGACAGAC
rnacentral:lncRNA from 10 species